rnacentral:lncRNA from 1 species
UUUCUCUCGACCUUACCCUGGCCUAGACGACACCCGUGAGUGGGGAGGGUUUGAUCAUUAUUACAGGUACCGUUGGUGACUUGUGGUCCUGUUGGUGACUUUGGGUUCAGACGACAGUGUCUCAGUUGACUUUGGGUUUCAGCUGGAUUUGGGGUUCUGAGUUUAAAUCGAAGCUUCGACCUUGUGUUCUGAGAUGCGCCGCCAGCCAGUCGUGUCUGCAUCAUUUGCAUCAUAGCAUGUUUAUUUUCAAAAAG